GACGUAGGGUGCGAGCGUUGUCCGGAUUAUUGGGCGUAAAGAGCUCGUAGGCGGCUCGUCGCGUCGACCGUGAAAACCCGCAGCUUAACUGCGGGCUUGCGGUUGAUACGGGCGGGCUAGAGUUCGGUAGGGGAGACUGGAAAUUCCUGGUGUAGCGGUGAAAUGCGCAGAUAUCAGGAGGAACACCGGUGGCGAAGGCGGGUCUCUGGGCCGAUACUGACGCUGAGGAGCGAAAGCGUGGGGAGCGAACAGG
rnacentral:rRNA from 1 species